AGCGAACGCUGGCGGCAGGCCUAACACAUGCAAGUCGAACGAAGUCUUCGGACUUAGUGGCGGACGGGUGAGUAAUACGUGGGAACGUGCCUUUAGGUUCGGAAUAACUCAGGGAAACUUGUGCUAAUACCGAAUGUGCCCUUCGGGGGAAAGAUUUAUCGCCUUUAGAGCGGCCCGCGUCUGAUUAGCCAGUUGGUGAGGUAAAGGCUCACAAAGGCUACGAUCAGUAGCUGGUCUGAGAGGAUGACCAGCCACAUUGGGACUGAUACACGGCCCAAACUCCUACGGGAGGCAGCAGUGGGGAAUCUUGCGCAAUGGGCGAAAGCCUGACGCAGCCAUGCCGCGUGGAUGAUGAAGGUCUUAGGAUUGUAAAAUCCUUUCACCGGUGAAGAUAAUGACUGUAGCCGGAGAAGAAGCCCCGGCUAACUUCGUGCCAGCCGCCGCGGUAAGAC
rnacentral:rRNA from 1 species